AGUGAACGCUGGCGGUAGGCCUAACACAUGCAAGUCGAACGGCAGCACAGUAAGAGCUUGCUCUUACGGGUGGCGAGUGGCGGACGGGUGAGGAAUACAUCGGAAUCUACUUUUUCGGGGGGGAUAACGUAGGGAAACUUAUGCUAAUACCGCAUACGACCUACGGGUGAAAGCAGGGGAUCUUCGGACCUUGCGCGAUUGAAUGAGCCGAUGUCGGAUUAGCUAGUUGGCGGGGUAAAGGCCCACCAAGGCGACGAUCCGUAGCUGGUCUGAGAGGAUGAUCAGCCACACUGGAACGGAGACACGGUCCAGACUCCUACGGGAGGCAGCAGUGGGGAAUAUUGGACAAUGGGCGCAAGCCUGAUCCAGCCAUACCGCGUGGGUGAAGAAGGCCUUCGGGUUGUAAAGCCCUUUUGUUGGGAAAGAAAAGCAGCAGGUUAAUACCCCGCUGUUCUGACGGUACCCAAAGAAUAAGCACCGGCUAACUUCGUG
rnacentral:rRNA from 1 species